UUCUCAACCCACCUCUAAGCCCUCACGCCUCUUCUUCCUUGCAGAAAACAGAGGCUAGCUCUGCCACCCUUUUCCACCGUCGCAGAAGACAUAGAAUCUUUCACCUUCUUCUAGCAGCAAAGGCCGAAUGACCCAAUCGUUCCAACAGCCACUCUUAAUCAUAAGGGUUUCAAAAUUGCAAAAGGCCUAACAAUCGAAGGGGUAAAUUACAAAUCUGGAGUCGGCUUGCGGUCUGAAUCGCUGUGGAAAAUACAGGCAGUUACAUGGAUAAGUCUUGGAUUCAUCAUCACACUAGGGGUAGUGUAAAGUAUUUUGAUGGCAUACACGACUUCAUUGAUGUGGCUAGGCGUUAUGCAGAAGUAGACGGUAGGUCCUGAUGUCCAUGUCGUCAUUGCAAAAAUAAGACUUAUCGACAAAUUGAAGAAGUUAAGCAGCAUCUCUUGAGUUAUGGGAUGGACAAGGGGUAUACCAAUUGGAUAUAUCAUGGGGAGGAUCGUCAAAACAACAAUAAUGUUAAUAUUGAUGCUAAUGUUAGUGGGGAAAAUGUCCACGAUGAAGAUGGAAAUGUAGAUAAUGUGUUUGAAUUGUUGGAUAACAUACAAAUGGGAAACUUCACUAAUGCACAACAACAAGAAGAUUCCCCUGAAGUUGAUGUUGGAGGAGGAAGCUUUGAUAGAUUGUUAAAUGAUGCACAAUGUGAAUUAUGGCCAGGUUGUAAAAAAUACUCUAAGUUGUCAGCGAUAUUAAAGUUGUUCCAUGUGAAGGUUACAAGCCGAAUGAGCAACAAAUCAUUUGACAUGAUGCUUGAUGCAUUUAAGGAUAUGCUCCCCGACGACAAUGUGUUACCAAAGUCUCAUUACGAGACUGAAAGCUUGUUACGAGACUUGUGUCUCGGAUAUGAUUGUAUACAUGCAUGUAAACAUGAUUGUGUUCUAUUUUGGAAGGAGAAUGUAGGUAAAGAAAAUUGUCCACAGUGUGGUGAAUCGAGGUAUAAACCUCACGAAGGUAAGGGUAAGAAAAUCCCUCAAAAGGUUCUUCGGCACUUCCCUUUGAAAUCAAGACUUCAACGGUUGUUUAUGUCAAAGGAUACAGCCUUAGACAUGCGGUGGCAUAAGGAGAAACGUGUGAAGGAGACAAAUGAGUUAAGACAUCCAGCUGACUCAAAAGCUUGGGAGGAUUUUGAUAGUAAGCAUAGUUGGUUUGCUGCUGAUCCUCGUAAUGUUCGUGUUGGAUUAGCAACUGAUGGAUUCAAUCCAUUUGGUAACAUGAGCAAUACGUAUAGUAUGUGGCCUGUGAUGAUUGUGCCUUACAAUUUGCUACCUUGGAUAUGUAUGAAGGAGCCAUAUAUAUUUAUGUCGUUGCUUAUUCCUGGUCCAACAUCGCCUGGUAAUGAUAUUUAUGUGUACAUGCAACCUUUGGUUGAAGAGUUAAAAGAAUUAUGGCGGGAUGGUGUGAUGACGUAUGACGCCUACAGUAAAUGUAACUUUAAAAUGCAUGCGGCAAUGAUUUGGACCAUUAGUGAUUUUCCCGCUUAUGCGAUGGUAUCUGAAUGGAUGACAAAGGGUUAUCUAGCAUGUCCAAAUUGUAACAAAGAAACAUGUUCUUGUUAUUUGGAACACGGGCGUAAGAUAUGUUACUUGGGAAGUUGUAUGUUUUUAUCGUUAGAUCACAUUUUUAAAAAACAUCACAAGCAAUUUAAUGGCAAAAGUGAAGACAAAGGGCCACCAAAGCAGUUGACGGGUGAUGAUAUUCUGGAACAGCUUAACCUCAUACCCGAGGUUAGUUUCGGAAAGGGACCAAAUAAAAAGAAGCGAACUCGUGAGGAAUUUGAACUUAACUGGAUGAAGAAGAGUAUUUUUUUUGAACUACCUUAUUGGCAGACCCUUUUGUUGCGGCACAACCUGGAUGUUAUGUAUAUAGAGAAAAAUAUAUGCGAUAGUGUGUUGGGGACAUUAUUGGACAUUGAAGGGAAAACUAAGGACACGUUCAAAAGUCGGUUGGAUUUAGAAGCAAUGGGGAUUAGAAAAGAACUCCACCUGAGGCGUAAUGGUGAAAAAUUUGAGAUGCCACAAGCGCAUUACACAUUCUCAAAGAAUGAUAAAAGGCAACUAUGUGAAUGGCUAAGAUCAGUUAAGUUUCCAGAUAGCUAUGCAUCGAACAUAAGUCGGUGUGUGAAUGUUAAUAAUUGUAAGAUAUCUGGAUUGAAAAGUCAUGAUUCACACGUUCUCUUACAACAUCUCCUCCCUAUUGCUAUACGAGGAUUCUUAAAUUCAGAUAUUUGUAACACAAUAGCUGAGCUUGGUUUAUUCUUCAAAGAAUUGUGUUGUCGAGUUAAAGUGGAUGUCUUAGAGGCAAUGGAAAGGGACAUUGCUGUUAUACUAAGCAAGUUAUAGAUGAUAUUUCCUCCAUCAUUUUUUAACAUUAUGGUGCACUUGGCUCUGCAUUUGCCGUGUGAAGCCAUCAUCGCAAGCCCUGCACAAUAUCGAUGGAUGUACCUGAUUGAAAGAUUUUUGCAUACUCUCAAAUUGUACGUCCGUAACAAAGCACGUCCGGAAGGGUCCAUUGCAGAAGCUUACGUGGACGAUGAAUGCCUCACAUUUUGUUCAAAAUUUCUUGGAGGGAUUGAGA